GUCCACGCCGUAAACGAUGGGCACUAGAUGUGGGCGGUGUAGACUCCGUCCGUGUCGCAGCUAACGCAUUAAGUGCCCCGCCUGGGGAGUACGGCCGCAAGGCUAAAACUCAAAGGAAUUGACGGGGGCCCGCACAAGCAGCGGAGCAUGUGGUUUAAUUCGACGCAACGCGAAGAACCUUACCUGGGCUUGACAUGUCCGUGAAACCCUUGGAAACAAGGUCCCUCUUCGGAGCGCGGUCACAGGUGGUGCAUGGCUGUCGU
rnacentral:rRNA from 1 species